rnacentral:misc_RNA from 1 species
UUAAAUAAUGAUGACACCCUUUGAAGUUUACUUCAUUGGGGCGUCUCUAUACCUCUGUGCACUGUAAUAGUAUCGGGUCAUUGCUAAGCAUUCCCUUGGGAUAGCGAAACUUUGGCCCACCAACGGUUUCGAUCGUUAUUAACAACUUUUAAUUUUGACUGACUUUUGUUUCUAUGAAUCAAAAA